UGCUUCAAAUCCAUUAGGAAAAGUUGCACUUCGCAGAGAACUCUUCUCCAACGAACCUUUCACAGAACCAGCAGAAGAAGAAAUAAACAACCUCAUCAUUUCCAUCCAUAAACAGUAAAGCUCAAUAACCUCAAAUCUAGACGCACUAGCCAGAAACAUCAGCUAAAGAAACUAACUCACCAUUAGAUUUGGCCGCCGAAGCAGUAGCCGCAGCUUCAGGCGCCUUCACACACGAGACGAGAGACACAUUUCGCUUCACCGGAGAAGAAAUGAGCUUCCGUCCAACCGUCAAGCGCGGGCCGCAAAAUUUACAGUUAAAGGAUUGGAGAGCAACAAAGAACUCCAUAGGAGAGAAGGAGGCAACAAUCGAGGGAAACGGAGGAUUUUUGCACGAAGGAGAGAGGAGAGGAACUUACAGAGUAUGGGCUGAGGAGGGCAAAAGGGAGAAUUAAAGGAGAGUUUAGUUUGGUUAGUGUAGCGACUAGCGACACGUUUGGAUUAGAGAAAGAGAGAGAGAAGAGUGUCUUUGUAAUUUCCGCCAACGCUCCUCUGUUUCUCCACCCACAGGGCCAUGCCGUUUUUCUGCUUUCGAUUUUCAUUAGCGUCUGCUAACGUGCACUGGUUGCUCUUUUCAUUAUUACCAUUA
rnacentral:misc_RNA from 1 species